ensembl:lncRNA
CUUUCUCUCUCAAUCUCUUUUUCUUUUUAUCUCUCCUCACCAUCUCUCUCCCCCUUUUUCACUCUAAAUCUUUCUUUAUUACUCCUCACCAUCUCUGUUUUGCUCUCUCUCUCUCUCUGUCUCUUUCUCUCUCUCUUGCAAGUGUGCGUCAUAUACAGGAAAAGUGUCUUAUUCCCCUGUGGAACUCAAUCUACCCCCUACACCCCCCCACACACACUCACCUGCAGAAUCAUAGCUCCUCUCUACUCAUCACCCUCUGUGUUUGGCAAAACGUCCGACACUCUCUCUCGCUCACACACACACACACACACAAGAGCACGUCACACUUUCUGAGUAAGUGUGCGCUUCAGAGCAACGGGCAGAGAGAAAGAGAGAGAGAUACAGAGGGAGGGGGAACUAGAGAGACAGAGAAACAGAGAAAAAGCUACAGAGGGAGACAGAAAGAAAGAUAUAGAGAAAGAGAUAGAAAGAGAGACUUACAGAAAGAGAGGAGGAUAGGGAAAGAGAGAGAGAUAUAGAAGUAGAGCAAGAAAGAGAGAGAUACAGAGGACGAUACAUAUAUAGAUAGAUAGAAAAAGAGUCAGUGAGUAAGAGAGAGAGAGAGAGAGUGAGGGAGGGGAUAAAGUCUUAUUGUUCUCGAGCAGCGUGUAUUGGAGGUGUGGCAUCUUCCGGGCGUUGUCGUGGAGACGGAAGGCUGCCCGGGCACUGUUCUCUCGCUCUCUCUCUCUCUGAGCUGAUCACCAAGACACUGAUCGUGGGGAGGCUGAUCCUUAUGGCAAGAUCCGCAGCCACAGCUUUUCAAAUGGAAGAAGCCCCCAAAAUACUGGUGACCCUGCUACUAGAUGGCAGGGAGAUAUGCAAGAAGAUACAUCAUCUCAACAGUGCUGCAGAAAUAAUCGAUGGCUGCAAGCACUUAUUACCUUGUACUGCCGAAUUUCAUAGAAUUCUAAAAUUCAAUCCUGAUUUUAACGAAUAUAUCGACACAGACCUUAACGACAGUGUCCAAAGCUUUGACAAGUUUCAAGUUUUGUUCAACUCAAUCACGCCAAGUGGAACACUGCAGUGGGCUGGGCAGCUUAAUACAGAUGCCGCUGGUCCGAGUAACCAAAUAAAGGUUGGGCCACUCAAUAGAGAUGUAGCUGGUUCAAAUAAUCAACAGCAGCAUGGUCAAGGUCCAGUUAAUGCAGACAGACUGAGAGCGCUCAUUCAGAUCAAAGGACCGAGCAUACUGGCUGAUUAUGAAGCUUCAGGAACGCUGUCUGAGACAUCACGAAAACUUCUGGUGAAGAUUGGUGUCGGUGACCUGGUGGAGCAGAGAGGAUUUUACCCGUCAAAUGAGGAAAAACUGAUGUUAGCAAAGAAUGUAGUAACAUUGUUCCCAUCACUGAAGAUUAAGAUGGGAGAAGAGAAUGAAGGAUUUGAGCACUUCUUCGACCCAGUUUCCCACAGUGGAUUUAUUGAAAUUAAACUGAGAAAUCUACGAAGAAGCCUUCACGAUAGUCAGCGACGCUACCGCCGCAAGCGGACCGUGCCCAGCAAUACAUCGUUCCAUCCAGUUUCCACCCCCCUGCAAACACCUGCAGAAGAGGAAGAGGAGUCCACGGUGGAGUGGAUGACAGCAAUGAAAAGGAUGAAGCCAUCUCACGAGAACUUCUCAACCAUCAAACUGGGCAUGGAGAAAACAUUUGACAGCCGCAGGUUCUGGAUUGUAAACAGCUCGCCGACAGCGGAAGAGAUUUUUCAGCAAUACCCUCAUUUUAUAGACAUGCCAUACUUGCUUGACAUUGAAUUUGAGAAAAUGUAUCCGGGGAAGGCUGAUCUGUUCCUUCAAAAAUGGGAAGGAAGUAUUGUUCCAAAAUUACUGAAGAUGGCCACAAUGAAAGACAAUCCCACUUUCCUGCCCUCCACAGCUGAGAGUGAUGGGCCAUGCUUCAGAGCUCUUCAGAUGCUCACGUAUCUUUUGCCUCCUACUGCGUCUGGAAGGGGAAAAGGCUGGACUAAAUGCAGUGUGAAAUCAGCCAUAUCUUAUAUCUUGGACAUUAAGCCGCCUGGAUCAAGCGGUUCCAGACACCUGGAUCCUGACAGAGCGGUGAAAAAUCAGCAACCUCACCUCCUGUGUUUAGGCGACCCCAGCACUACAGCUCAGUACAUCAUCGUGGCAGAGAACAACAAAGUUGCCAUUCCUCUUGAAGAUAAUAGUUUGACGUGCGCCAUUGACAAACUGUUUAAAAUGUAUUGUGUUUGUAACCUGGCGUAUCCUGCACAACUCACAUCAGUCUUUAAUUUCUUUGAGCAUAUUUAUGAUAUGCCUAUCUCUGGUGGGAAGAGAUGCAAAGUGGUGGAGCUUAUUGCAAGGAUCCAAGCUAUGCUAUGAGACAUACUGCUACAUUUCAAAAGUAUUGAAGCAAGGGUUUGUUAUGACAGAACCUGUCAUGCUUAGUCAUCCUACGUAGGUUAGGUUAUACUUUAUUGAUCUGCAUUCAGGGGAAGUGGGGCAGUCAUUUUGUUGUCGUACUGUGCCCAGCAUAGAAGCAGCACAGCAUGGCCAGGUUAGGUUUCUUGACUAAGGGCGUGACUUAAUAAAUAUACCCAGAGAGUAUUUGGUAUUUUUAAA